rnacentral:rRNA from 1 species
GAGUUUGAUCGUGGCUCAGAACGAACGCUGGCGGCGUGCCUAACACAUGCAAGUCGAGCGAGAAAGUUCCUUCGGGAAUGAGUAAAGCGGCGCACGGGUGAGUAACACGUAGGUAACCUACCCUCGAGCCCGGAAUAACCUACCGAAAGGUGGGCUAAUACCGGAUAUGACCACGGGAGCCACGGCUCCUGCGGUGAAAGAUGGCCUAAGCUUGCAAGCUAUCACUAGGGGAUGGGCCUGCGUACCAUUAGCUAGUUGGCGGGGUAAUGGCCCACCAAGGCUAUGAUGGUUAGCUGGUCUGAGAGGAUGGCCAGCCACACUGGAACUGAAACACGGUCCAGACUCCUACGGGAGGCAGCAGUGGGGGAUAUUGCGCAAUGGGCGAAAGCCUGACGCAGCGACGCCGCGUGGGUGAUGAAGGCCUUCGGU